GUCAUUAUGAGGAGGUAAAUCUCCUAAUCUUUAACUUAAAAGGUUAAUGCUAAGCUAGCUUCAUAAUG
rnacentral:tRNA from 1 species